rnacentral:rRNA from 1 species
UACAGAGGGUGCAAGCGUUGUUCGGAAUUAUUGGGCGUAAAGCGCGUGUAGGCGGCUUUGCAAGUCGGGUGUGAAAGCCCUCAGCUUAACUGAGGAAGUGCGCCCGAAACUGCUUGGCUUGAGUACCGGAGAGGAUGGCGGAAUUCCCCAAGUAGAGGUGAAAUCCGUAGAUAUCAAGCGGAACACCGGUGGCGAAGGCGGCCUUCUGGACAGUGACUGACGCUGAGACGCGAAAGCGUGGGGAGCAAACAGG